rnacentral:lncRNA from 1 species
UGGAAACCUGACUGUUAACAGGCUACCACUUUGUAUAAUGGAAACCUGAGAUAUUUCUUUGCUAUAUCACUAAUUUAUUUCCAAUUAAAUUUGGAGGCAGAGUUCUUGCUGCUUUGGCUGGUAAAAGACAAGAUAGACAUGCUCAUCCAUACCACAUUCAGAUGCAUUCUGUCGCUCAUACUAAGGGGAGAGUUGUGUUGUAAACUUUAGGUCCUGCUGACAAAUACAUCCAGAUAGGAGGCAGAAUCUUGGCAUACAACAGAGAAAACAGAAACAUAAUUUCUUACAGUGACAGGAUAAAGUCAAGUAAAUUUUCUGUUUCCAUGUGCUAAUUUGUCAUCUGACAAAGUAAAAAAAGACUUUGGAAGGAAACCCAAGAGUUUUAGCUCUUCUGCAAGUCACCUAGACUGGAGCAACAGUCAAGAAAAUUAAACUCAAGAGAAAGACAAUACCAAUAGUUUAGCCUAGAAGGAAGGGUAAUACAGAAUUUCAUUCAAAAAAGAUAGUUCUAAUUUCUUAAACCACACUGUGGAAGAUUGUCUGCAUAUGCCUGCCAUCAAAUUACCUCUGGAAAGAACUCUGGAGAGUAAAGACAGUAUUCCAUUAAUGCUUUCAGGUACUGAAAAUAAAAAUCUGAAUUUAUGAUCAUACAGAUGCAUAUGUAAAAGAAAUAUGCUCUGAUUUCCCAAGAGUGCUUUGUGCUGUGGGGUUUUUUGACAGGGCUGUGGUUGGAAGGCAGAUAUGGGAGCAUCAUAACUCUUUUCUUGUCUAGGCUGUCUCAGGCCUGAAAACCUGGAGGAAGAAACUGAAGAUUACACCAUUGCUCAAAGCAAGCAACUUUAGCAAGGUUGCAGGAUGUUGUAUUUGUGUCAGGUCAACUUGGAGUAAGACAUGGUGCCUUAACUGGAGGUUCUGGAGGUGUGUGAUCCAGUUUCAAGUGGAGCUCAGUGAGUUGGACGUGGUUAAGUUCCAUAUAACAAUACGUGUGUGAUACAACUUUUCAGUUCUCACCACACCCUCCUCCAGGUUCCAGCUGUGUUCACUGACAGGAGUCUGUACAUGCACCUGCAAGAAUCACAAUUAUUUUUAGGAUUUGAGAUUCCUCUUCAUUGUGUGCAAUACCUGCAACCAGUGAGAAAAGGAGACUAACACAUGGGAAAGGAGCUGAAGGCAGGCAAAAA